UUCAUACUUCUUCCGUUUCAUAAUUCUUGUCUCAAAUUUGAUCAAAAAUGGAUGUAUCUAUUCAUAAAACGUAUUUGGAUACAUGUAAUAUUUCGACAAGAAUUAUGAAACGGAAGGAGUACAAU
rfam:Brachypodium distachyon strain Bd21 chromosome 5, whole genome shotgun sequence.